rnacentral:rRNA from 1 species
AUUGAACGCUGGCGGCAUGCCUUACACAUGCAAGUCGAACGGCACCACGGGUGCUUGCACCUGGUGGCGAGUGGCGAACGGGUGAGUAAUACAUCGGAACAUGUCCUGUAGUGGGGGAUAGCCCGGCGAAAGCCGGAUUAAUACCGCAUACGAUCUACGGAUGAAAGCGGGGGACCUUCGGGCCUCGCGCUAUAGGGUUGGCCGAUGGCUGAUUAGCUAGUUGGUGGGGUAAAGGCCUACCAAGGCGACGAUCAGUAGCUGGUCUGAGAGGACGACCAGCCACACUGGGACUGAGACACGGCCCAGACUCCUACGGGAGGCAGCAGUGGGGAAUUUUGGACAAUGGGCGAAAGCCUGAUCCAGCAAUGCCGCGUGUGUGAAGAAGGCCUUCGGGUUGUAAAGCACUUUUGUCCGGAAAGAAAUCCUUGGCCCUAAUACGGUCGGGGGAUGACGGUACCGGAAGAAUAAGCACCGGCUAACUACGUG